rfam:Aspergillus sydowii CBS 593.65 ASPSYscaffold_4_Cont227, whole genome shotgun sequence.
GGUGCCGUGGUCUAGUGAGUAACCUUCAGCUUUCCAUUCAAUUAAAAUUUAUAUCUAACCUUUCCAAAGGUGGUAUGACGUCACGUUGUGGCCGUGCCAGCCCCGGUUCGAUUCCGGGCGGCGCCA